AUUGAACGCUGGCGGCAGGCUUAACACAUGCAAGUCGAGCGAGCGGCGGACGGGUGAGUAAUGUCUGGGAAACUGCCUGAUGGAGGGGGAUAACUACUGGAAACGGUAGCUAAUACCGCAUACCAUCGGAUGUGCCCAGAUGGGAUUAGCUAGUAGGUGGGGUAAUGGCUCACCUAGGCGACGAUCCCUAGCUGGUCUGAGAGGAUGACCAGCCACACUGGAACGGAGAAACGGUCCAGACUCCUACGGGAGGCAGCAGUGGGGAAUAUUGCACAUGGGGCGCAAGCCUGCUGCAGCCAUGCCGCGUGUGUGAAGAAGGCCUUCGGGUUGUAAAGUACUUUCAGCGAGGAGGAGUUACUCGCAGAAGAGGAGCCGGCUAACUCCGUGCCAGCCGCCGCGGUAAUAC
rnacentral:rRNA from 1 species